AUGAACGCUAGCUACAGGCUUAACACAUGCAAGUCGAGGGGCAGCAUGGUCUUAGCUUGCUAAGGCCGAUGGCGACCGGCGCACGGGUGAGUAACACGUAUCCAACCUGCCGUCUACUCUUGGACAGCCUUCUGAAAAGGAAGAUUAAUACAAGAUGGCAUCAUGAGUCCGCAUGUUCACAUGAUUAAAGGUAUUCCGGUAGACGAUGGGGAUGCGUUCCAUUAGAUAGUAGGCGGGGUAACGGCCCACCUAGUCUUCGAUGGAUAGGGGUUCUGAGAGGAAGGUCCCCCACAUUGGAACUGAGACACGGUCCAAACUCCUACGGGAGGCAGCAGUGAGGAAUAUUGGUCAAUGGGCGAGAGCCUGAACCAGCCAAGUAGCGUGCAGGAUGACGGCCCUAUGGGUUGUAAACUGCUUUUAUAAGGGAAUAAAGUGGGAGUCGUGACUCUUUUUGCAUGUACCUUAUGAAUAAGGACCGGCUAAUUCCGUG
rnacentral:rRNA from 1 species